rnacentral:rRNA from 1 species
CUCCUUGGUCUCGGGGGUGGUACUUACUGGGACGCUAGAGCUGGCAUGACUGACCGAAGGGUCCACCAUGGGGGGAGCCUGUGGCUUAAUUUGAAUCAACACGGGGAAACUUACCAGGACCAGAUGUUUUUUAUGACUGACAGGCUUCGGGUCUUUCAGGAUAUUGCUUUUGGUGGUGCAUGGCCGUUGGUGGUGCGUGGGUUGACCUGUCUAGCGUUGAUUCAGCUAACGAGCGAGAUUAUCGCCAAUUAUAUAGCUCGCAUUGGCUUCAGUGUUGA